CAAUGUGCUUUGUCUUUCUUGCCCAACCAGGCCAGCUCGGUAAUUAAAUGGCUGUGACAACUUGCGGACUUUUAAGCACUUUCACAGGCUGCGUUUUGUGUGAUUCUUACAGCAACCGUGCGGAGUGUGCAUUUUCUCUGUAGUCAGGCAUUCUUCUGUGAACUUACUAAACAAGACAGCAAUCCUGCCUUGGUGUCCAUAUGGGACCCAGGAAAUCUGUGCACCUGAAGUUAAAUGGUGUUGUCCGUGCUGCCUUGAUAGACACCUCAUAUAUUCAAAAGACGAGGCCCUGGACUCCAAGAAAAUUUAUGAAGAGUAACUUCAAGGAGAAAGAUCAACUUACAGGCGAUGUGGGGCUCUCAUUCAGACCCCAGAAUGGGAAUUGCAUGGAAAACAGAGAGGCUUUCUUCAAGCUGUCAUUUAAAAAUAUCCACACCCUAUCCCUGUGACAGCCAGAGCGUUUCCUCCCAACAUGGAAACCCAGAGUGUUGAUAGUUCUUAGUGACAAGGUGAGUUUCCAAACAGAGCUUUUUAUUCAUAAAUGGAGCCGUUAGAUGAAAACCUAGCUUAGCCUGCCACAAGCUCACUUUUCUCUAUCCCUUCUCUUUCAGCAAAAUUUUCCUGUCCUUGAACUUUACAACCUAAAUAGCUCCUAGCAUGCU